rnacentral:snRNA from 1 species
GUGCUUGCUUUGGCAGCCCACAUACUAAUAUUACAAAAAUACAGAGAAGAUAAGCAUGGCCUCUGCCCCAGGAUGACAUAAAUGUUCUGCAUCAUUAUCCUUGCAUAU